UGCUCCGCUCCAUCGCAUGGUGGGGUGGGAAAUGCUUUUGCGGCAUGGGAUGGGGUCGCGUCCUAUCAGCUUGUUGGCGGGGUGAUGGCCCACCAAGGCGUUGACGGGUAGCCGGCCUGAGAGGGUGACCGGCCACAUUGGGACUGAGAUACGGCCCAGACUCCUACGGGAGGCAGCAGUGGGGAAUAUUGCACAAUGGGCGCAAGCCUGAUGCAGCGACGCCGCGUGCGGGAUGGAGGCCUUCGGGUUGUAAACCGCUUUCGCCUGUGACAAAGCGUGAGUGACGGUAAUGGGUAAAGAAGCACCGGCUAACUACGUGCCAGCAGCCGCGGUGAUACGUAGGGUGCGAGCGUUGUCCGGAUUUAUUGGGCGUAAAGGGCUCGUAGGUGGUUGAUCGCGUCGGAAGUGUAAUCUUGGGGCUUAACCCUGAGCGUGCUUUCGAUACGGGUUGACUUGAGGAAGGUAGGGGAGAAUGGAAUUCCUGGUGGAGCGGUGGAAUGCGCAGAUAUCAGGAGGAACACCAGUGGCGAAGGCGGUUCUCUGGGCCUUUCCUGACGCCGAGGAGCGAAAGCGUGGGGAGCGAACAGGCUUAGAUACCCUGGUAGUCCACGCUGUAAACGGUGGGUACUAGGUGUGGGGUCCAUUCCACGGGUUCCGUGUCGGAGCCAACGCGUUAAGCAUCCCGCCUGGGGAGUACGGCCGCAAGGCUAAAACUCAAAGAAAUUGACGGGGGCCCGCACAGGCGGCGGAGCAUGCGGAUUAAUUCGAUGCAACGCGAAGAACCUUACCUGGGCUUGACAUGUGCCGGAUCGCCGUGGAGACACGGUUUCCCUUCGGGGCCGGUUCACAGGUGGUGCAUGGUCGUCGUCAGCUCGUGUCGUGAGAUGUAGGGUUAAGUCCCGCAACGAGCGCAACCCUCGCCGCAUGUUGCCAGCGGGUGAUGCCGGGAACUCAUGUGGGACCGCCGGGGUCAACUCGGAGGAAGGUGGGGAUGACGUCAGAUCAUCAUGCCCCUUACGUCCAGGGCUUCACGCAUGCUACAAUGGCCGGUACAACGCGGUGCGACACGGUGACGUGGGGCGGAUCGCUGAAAACCGGUCUCAGUUCGGAUCGCAGUCUGCAACUCGACUGCGUGAAGGCGGAGUCGCUAGUAAUCGCGGAUCAGCAACGC
rnacentral:rRNA from 1 species